CCUACGGGAGGCAGCAGUGGGGAAUAUUGCACAAUGGGGGAAACCCUGAUGCAGCGACGCCGCGUGCGUGAAGAAGUAAUUCGUUAUGUAAAGCUCUAUCAGCAGGGAAGAAAAUGACGGUACCUGAGUAAGAAGCCCCGUCUAACUACGUUCCAGCCGCCGGGGUACUAUGGAGGGGGCCAGCGUUAUCCGGAUUUACUGGGUGUAAAGGGAGCUUAGACGGCUGGGCAAGCCUGGAGUGAAAGGCGGGGGCUCAACCCCCGGACUGCUCUGGAAACUGGACGGCUGGAGUGCGGGAGAGGGAAGUGGAAUUCGUGGUGUAGCGGUGAAAUGCGUAGAGAUGAGGAGGAACACCAGUGGCGAAGGCGGCUUACUGGACUGUAACUGACGUUGAGGCUCGAAGGCGUGGGGAGCAAACAGGAUUAGAUACCCUAGUAGUC
rnacentral:rRNA from 1 species